rnacentral:rRNA from 1 species
GGUUCAGGAUGAACGCUGGCGGCGUGCCUAACACAUGCAAGUCGAGCGAAGCAUAGGUGCUUGCACUUAUGACUUAGCGGCGGACGGGUGAGUAACGCGUGGGUAACCUGCCCUGUACAGAGGAAUAACAGUUAGAAAUGACUGCUAAUGCCUCAUAAGCCGACGUAAUGGCAUCAUUAAGUCGGAAAAGAUUUAUCGGUACAGGAGGGACCCGCGUCUGAUUAGCUAGUUGGUGAGGUAACGGCUCACCAAGGCGACGAUCAGUAGCCGACCUGAGAGGGUGAUCGGCCACAUUGGAACUGAGACACGGUCCAAACUCCUACGGGAGGCAGCAGUGGGGAAUAUUGCACAAUGGGGGAAACCCUGAUGCAGCAACGCCGCGUGAAGGAAGAAGUAUUUCGGUGUGUAAACUUCUAUCAGUAGGAAAGAAAAAAUGACGGUACCUACAUAAGAAGCACCGGCUAAAUACGUGCCAGCCGCCGC